rnacentral:rRNA from 1 species
AAUGGCUCAUUAAAUCAGUUAUCGUUUAUUUGAUAGUACCUUACUACUUGGAUAACCGUGGUAAUUCUAGAGCUAAUACAUGCUAAAAACCUCAACUUCGGAAGGGGUGUAUUUAUUAGAUAAAAAACCAGCGCCCUUCGGGGCUCCUUGGUGAUUCAUAAUAACUAAACGAAUCGCAUGGCCUUGCGCCGGCGAUGGUUCAUUCAAAUUUCUGCCCUAUCAACUUUCGAUGGUAGGAUAGUGGCCUACCAUGGUAUCAACGGGUAACGGGGAAUUAGGGUUCUAUUCCGGAGAGGGAGCCUGAGAAACGGCUACCACAUCCAAGGAAGGCAGCAGGCGCGCAAAUUACCCAAUCCCGACACGGGGAGGUAGUGACAAUAAAUACUGAUACAGGGCUCUUUUGGGUCUUGUAAUUGGAAUGAGUACAAUUUAAAUCCCUUAACG